rnacentral:lncRNA from 1 species
UCUCUCUCUCUCUCUCUCUCUCUCUCUCUGGGGCAUGAGAUCCAAUGGGAUUCCAGAUCUCCAUGGCCGUGAGAGAACCAAUGCCACCCGGCACUACCAAACAGAAAAGGCUUUUAACUACUAAAAAUUUAGAAGAAACUUGGAAGAACAAGAACAAAACCAGAUGUAGGCACUCAGAAGAACAAACUCAACCUAAGCCUCUGAAAAGCGUCAAAACUUCAUCUCGGUGGCGUAUGGGGAGAAGCAUUAUAGGAAUCAAAGCCAGCUAGUAGAAGAGGGGG